rnacentral:tRNA from 1 species
AGGGUGGAGCAGUCCGGUAGCUCGUCAGGCUCAUAACCUGAAGGUCGGUGGUUCAAAUCCACCCCCCC